rnacentral:rRNA from 1 species
UGCGUAGGGGGCGAGCGUUGUCCGGAUUUAUUGGGCGUAAAGAGCUCGUAGGCGGCUUGUCGCGUCGACUGUGAAAACCCGCAGCUUAACUGCGGGACUGCAGUCGAUACGGGCAGGCUAGAGUUCGGUAGGGGAGACUGGAAUUCCUGGUGUAGCGGUGAAAUGCGCAGAUAUCAGGAGGAACACCGGUGGCGAAGGCGGGUCUCUGGGCCGAUACUGACGCUGAGGAGCGAAAGCGUGGGGAGCGAACAGG